UUACUCAUACAUAAGGGGGUGGCUGAUUGUUCCACUAAUGACCAGAGAGGGCCACACAAAAUCAUAAUAACCCACAUUUGUGAAACAUUUUGGAAUAGAGGUCUGUACCCUUCAAUCCUGUAGAUAAAGGAGGCAUGUAGCUCCCAAUUUUCUUUGCCUGGGGUACAUGUAUGAUUGUUUAAUGCAGGGAACAUGAUCCAUAAAUGCUGAGACUAUUCGAAAUUUAAUUUGACCCAGAUGGUAUUACUGGCUUUUUUGUGAAAACUUGCACAAUAGGGUUGAUAGUUGCUGGGUUUCCAACAAAUACAAAAAUCAGGAUCCUCACCAGUACUUCUGUUCCAAAGGUAAUAUAUUUUUAAACCUGCUGUAGUGAACUGCUUAUUGCCUGUAACCUCUCACUUGGUUACCUUCAACUGCAAUCGUAGCUUCUGUUAAUAAAACAUUUGAAUUAUCAGAGGUGGCACUAAUAACUAACAAGUAAUCUCUAUAUGCUCUAUCGUAAUCAUAGCAGCAAUAAAUUUGUGUGUCUUCUGGCUGAAGGUGAGUAUCUUGUGCUUGGCUGAGGGGAAAAUCUCUGUUGUGUUCUGCCUGCAACUCUUUGUACAAAGAUUCUUUCAGGUCGCAGUGAGGGGACCAUUCAAGUACCCUGAGCUUGUUGGAGAAAAGAAGAGCUGCAAACUCGAAAGCCUAAUGCAGUCACUCUGCGUGCUUCUACCUGGAGGGACUUCUCUUGUCGGGACACCACUGCAGGGGAGGCCCUUUCCUGUGCCAUCACCACACAAUAAGGUGCAUCUCAGUCACACAAGAAAUAGAAUUUUGCAAGCCUUCAGGAAACUUAACGGCAAGUGAACUUCACAUUCUACAAUUCAGUGAUCUUUUUCAGUACAAUCCUUUUGGGCUGGCUUCUCCAUUUCCCCCCGCUUGAUCUCUUCACAGUUCUGUCCAAGAGCCCACCACACUCAGGGGAAGCCAGCUCUUCCUGCAGAAGUCAGACCAGCAGAAGGAACUUCCAGGCCCAUGAAUUCACACUUCAGAGGGACAAACAAAAAGG